GGUGUUCAAGAACCGUGUGGAUGUGGCACUGAAGGACAUGGGAAUGUCCCCAAGCUUUGAACUCCAAGGAAGAUGCCAUUUCCCAGCACCAAAGGCACUGCACCUUUGCUGGUAUGUCACACCCUUUCACAGCCAUCUGGUGACAUUAACAAUGCUGUUCAGUCUCUUCAGAAACCACAAAACUGCCACAUUACCAUGGGGAGAUUCAAGGAAGAUGCAGUUAUUUAACUACCAGAUCACCAUCCUCUGACAGCCCAAUUCUGGUGGGCUGUCCAUGAGAACACCUAGCCGAUGAAGAGGCUCCAUAUGAAAUACAGUUGGACUGCAACAGCCACUCCCAGCACUGCGGAAAUGAAACCACUUCCAAGCUCCCAGGUUCAGAGACUAACUAUCCCUGGGGAGUGUGAAGAGCUGCUCAUCUUCCAAAUGAGAAAGAAAGAAAGAAAAUAGCAACAGAAACCAAAACCUCAAACCCAUGCUGCAAAUGACUGAAAGAUAAGGGAAAUUCAAAGAUAAAACUAGACAGGGGAACAAGUUCUCUGUGAGGAAACAUUUAUCUUUAAAAUGAAAUAUUAGCACACAAUCAUUUCUGAAUUAUGAGCAAAAUUAGAACUGUUGGAAAGCUAUGGAAAACAAACAAACAA